rnacentral:rRNA from 1 species
AUUGAACGCUGGCGGCAGGCCUAACACAUGCAAGUCGAGCGGGGUUUUCGGACCUAGCGGCGGACGGGUGAGUAAUGCGUAGGAAGCUACCCGAUAGAGGGGGAUACCAGUUGGAAACGACUGUUAAUACCGCAUAAUGUCUACGGACCAAAGUGUGGGACCUUCGGGCCACAUGCUAUCGGAUGCGCCUACGUGGGAUUAGCUAGUUGGUGGGGUAAUGGCUCACCAAGGCGACGAUCCCUAGCUGGUUUGAGAGGAUGAUCAGCCACACUGGGAGUGAGACACGGUCCAGACUCCUACGGGAGGCAGCAGUGGGGAAUAUAGGAGAAUGGGCUCAAGCCUGAUACAGCCAUGCCGCGUGUGUGAAGAAGGCCUUCGGGUUGUAAAGCACUUUCAGUAGGGAGGAAGGGUUAAGUGUUAAUAGUACUUAACUGUGACGUUACCUACAGAAGAAGCACCGGCUAACUCUGUGCCAGCAGCAGCCGUAACAC